GCAGCAGGGAAGGACCCGAGAGAAGCGCUGCACGCUCAGGUUUCCGCUUCAGGACAGGAGCCGCCCGAGCAGGAGAGGUGGAUUCUCCCGGCCUGGUGUGAGUGGGAAGGGCCCUGAGGCUGCUCUGUGGCAGGGCUCGCUCACACCCUGGGGUGAGGUUUCUGCUUCAGCUGCCACUGUCCUGCAAUAUCGCCGCUCCCGCUCCUGGCUCCCCCGGCGGUGGGAGCAUUGGACGCUGAAGCACUGCAUCAUCUGCAAAAAGCCACUCUCUGGAUAUUUUCUGUAAGUGCAUUGAGCACCAACGUGAACGACUGGAUAUAAAGAUCGCUGCUUCUAUCCGCACUGCCAACUCUGACUCCAGCUCCGACUCUUGGCUUCAUGUCUGACUGUGACACCAGCUCUGAUGUUUGCCUUGACUAUGGCUCUGAACUCUGGCUCUUGACUCCUGCUCCGACCACUAGGCAUGACCCCCACUGCCCUCAUCACUAGGUCUGACUGCCUACAUCAUGGGCCACAACUGAUGGUGUGCUAGGCGCUCAUAUUAGAGUUGCUCUUUUGUGCCUAGUCUAGACUAGGAUUUAAAGUGUGGUGUUAGCAUGUAAGAGACCAAGAGACCCCUGAGCUUUGAGAAAGGUCUGAGCUGGAGUUCAGUUUUGUGUCUCAGGUCCCAGCCCUGCUAUCUAAAAACUGCAAUGGUCCAUUAUGAAUAAUGAAAAAAUAAAGACAUUUGCCCACUG